UUCGGUUCUGGUUUUUCGGAUAGGGAUCGGGGGCCAAUUCGGAUAUCGGGUAAAGUAUCCACCCUUAGUGUGUGUGAGUUAAGAAUUAAUUUAACCUUAGUUUUUAUCUAAAAAAUAUUUUGGAUUACUUUUUUAUGUAAAAGAACUGUUAAAUUUUAUAUUGAUUUAAUUUUUAAUGACUUUAAAAUCAUUGAGGUUCUGUUUUAUUUAUCACCUAUCUCAAAAAGUAUAAACCAACUUUUUACUUGGUUUAUUUCAAAAAUAAAUUUAUCAGUCUAACUAAAUAAAUAAUAUGCAAUCUUGGUUUAAUAAUCUUAUAGAUUUUCUAUUAUUAGUUUGAACCAAAAAACAAAGAUUCUCUAGCUAUCUGACUAUUAUAAUCUGAUUGAAAUAUUUUAAAGCAUAUUUUAUGAAAUUUAAGUAUGUAUUUAAAUUAGUUAUUCCAUUUAUAAGCAAUAACUAAAAACUGCCUCAUUUUAAUUUUAAGAAUACUUGUCUAAUUUUCUUUAGAAAAUAUAGAUAUU
rnacentral:lncRNA from 1 species